rnacentral:tRNA from 3 species
CGGAAGUGUGGCCGAGCGGUUGAAGGCACCGGUCUUGAAAACCGGCGACCCGAAAGGGUUCCAGAGUUCGAAUCUCUGCGCUUCCGCCAU